rnacentral:misc_RNA from 1 species
AACCAUAGAAACCUGCGGAGUACCUGCGGAAGGAUCAUUACCGAGUUUACAACUCCCAAACCCCUGUGAACAUACCUAUACGUUGCCUCGGCGGAUCAGCCCGCGCCCCGUAAAAAGGGACGGCCCGCCCGAGGACCCCUAAACUCUGUUUUUAGUGGAACUUCUGAGUAAAACAAGCAAAUAAAUCAAAACUUUUAACAACGGAUCU